AGUGAACGCUGGCGGCGUGCUUAACACAUGCAAGUCGAACGAGAACGGAAUAUAGCUUGCUAUAUUUGUCAGCUAAGUGGCGCACGGGUGAGUAAUGUAUAGAUAACCUGCCCUUAAGAAAGGAAUAAUAGUUGGAAACGACUGCUAAUGCCCUAUAUGCCUUUAAUACAUAAGUAUGCAAGGGAAACGCUUUAGUGCUUAAGGAUGGGUCUGUAUGGUAUCAGCUUGUUGGUGAGGUAAUGGCUCACCAAGGCUAUGACGCCUAACUGGUUUGAGAGGAUGAGCAGUCACACUGGAACUAAGACACGGUCCAGCCUCCUCCUGGAGGCAGCGGUGGGGAAUAUUGCACAAGGGACGAAAGUCUGAUGCAGCAACGCCGCGUGGAGGAUGACACAUUUCGGUGCGUAAACUCCUUUUAUAUAGGAAGAUAAUGACGGUACUAUAUGAAUAAGCACCGUCUAACUCCGUGCCAGCAGCCGCCGUAA
rnacentral:rRNA from 1 species